CCUACGGGUGGCAGCAGUGGGGGAUAUUGCACAAUGGGGGGAACCCUGAUGCAGCGAUGCCGCGUGGGUGAAGAAGCGCUUCGGCGCGUAAAGUCCUUUCAGCAGGGAAGAAAAUGACGGUACUUGUAGAAGAAGCACCGGCUAACUACGUGCGAGCAGCCGCGGUAAUACGGAGGGGGCGAGCGUUAUCCGGAUUUACUGGGUGGAAGGGGGAUGCAGACGGCGGAUCAAGCCAGGGGUGAAGGCCCCGGGCCCAACCCCGGGACUGCUCCUGGAACUGCGUGGCUGGAGUGCAGGAGAGGCGGGCGGAAUUCCUGGUGUAGCGGUGAAAUGCGUAGAGAUCAGGAGGAACACCGGUGGCGAAGGCGGCCUGCUGGACUAAAACUGACGUUGAGGCCCGAAAGCGUGGGGAGCAAACAGGAUUAGAUACCCGAGUAGUC
rnacentral:rRNA from 1 species